ensembl:lncRNA
AGGUAAAGACGUAUUUAUUUAAGGGAACAUAACAUUAACAACGUAUCUAACUCCACUAUAUCUACUAUAAUACUCCGUGAGGUGUACAGGGACGCGAGCGGUGUAUAUCCCCAAUAGAAUGAUUUUUUGCACUCUUGUCAAUGCAAUUUUUAGUUGUAGGCUUCAGAGUGUUCCAUUCUUUCAGCGGUCAGUUACAGGCCUAACAGUCUAUUCAAGGGGGGCUCGAAGAUGACCACAUACAAAAUAUUGUUAUUUUCCUCAUUUAUUUAUUUAAAGUUAUAUCGUGCCUUGCUGGUAGCCUGUGCCUGCUGGAAUGAAGAAAAAAAAUGUUCAGUGUGAAAUGAAUAUUUUGAAAUUGUAGUUUUUGUAAUUGAUUUUUUUUCUUUGAAAAGCGUUCGGCCUUCGGCGAAGUUUUUCAUUAUAUUCGGUUUCGGCUCCGGCCAAGAAUUUUCAUUUCGGUGCAUCCCUAGUUUUCUUGAAGGACGGCAGGUAAAUGAGUCUUUCUAGGUUAUAAGAUAAGGUGAAAUGAUGUACGGCUGCACAUCUGCAGGUGUAUAUAGUGUACUGAAAGAAAUGUUCCGGGAAUCGGUCAUUCAGGGUCAUGGAUUAUCCGGAGCCUAUCCUGGGAAAAUUGUCCGCAAGGCAAGAGAAUCCCCGCCAAAUGUGAUGCCAGUCCACUGCAAGGCCCCAUGGACACGCUCAUUCAUAACUAGGUGCAAUAUAGCAUAGCCAGUCCACCUACCAGCAUGUAUUUUGGACAUUGGGAGGAAACUGAAGAACCUAAAAGAAACCUAUACGAACAUGGGACGGUGUAAAACAGGCCUGUUGCACAGCAAUCGUUUCCCCGCCACUUCUGCUUUCUUUGCUUGCUCUUAUGAAGGUUGCUUGCCGCUUUUCCUCGGUCUGUGUUGUAUGCGUACAUAUGAGUACAGAACUGCUUCAACUCUGGGAUGCUGAUGGGUUUCCUCACAUGCACUGCUUGCUUCAGGUCCUUCUACAACAUUUCUAUCGAAUUAAGGUCAGGACUUUGACUUGGCCGUUCCAAAACAUUCACUUUAUUCUUCUUUAACCAUUUUUGGGCGGAACGACUUGUGUGCUUAGGGUCAAUCAGUAUGUUUACAUGGGCAGCAGUAAUCUAAUUAUUGACCUUAUUCUGAGUAAGACAAUGACUACGUUUACAUGGACAGAAUUAAUCUAAUUAUUGACCUUACUCUAGUAAGAUAAUAAUGUGAUUAAGGUGUUUACAUGAGUGGCUUUUAGAAUACUCCUGUCAUGUUCCCGUUUGACAUGUUUUAGAACGUAAUUAGAUUAACAGCCCGCGUCAUUACGUCACCGCGCAACGCCGUCCGACGUUCCUCCAGAAUUUCACGCAUCGACAUACAGUUCAUCUUCGUUAUGGUACCGUAUACAGUUUUGGUGUUUUAUUAAAAAAUUUUUACGAACGCUUUAAGUGCAGUUAAUUAUUCGUCAUGCUAUACGUGCUAAUAGACGACUGCUUGAAGACGUAGGUGUGUCCCAAAUCGCGUAGUUACAGUCUAUACAGUAACCGAGAUACAUGUAUUUGUUCCCCACUACAGGCGUAUAGUAGGUAAGUAUGCGAUUUGGGACGCGGCCGAACGCUCUCGUUCGCCGUGCAGAUAGACGACCGCUUGAAGCCGCGACCUGCGUCCUAAACCGCGUAAUUACCUACCAUGUAGCGGCUGAGAUGCAUGUAUUUUUUCUACUAUACAGCAGGUAAGUACGCGGUUUGGGACGCAGCCGUGUUCUCUCGUUUGCCAUCGAACGGUCGAGCGCUGCCGUGUGUGUACGUGUCCUGUCGCAAAAUGCGGUGAAAACUCCCACACGACGUUAACAGUGUGAUUAAGGUGUGUACGUGUCUGUAAUACACGUCGAUAGUGCGACUAAAGCAGGAGUACUCCACGUGUCUUAAUUCCAUUUGUGUUUACUUCGAGUGUGAGUUUAGUCGGAUUAAGGGCAUCAAUAAUCGCUGUAUACAUGCUAGUUUCUUAAUCAGAUUAUCGUUUUAAUCUGGUUAAUAUCGGAUUAUUUGUCGUCCAUGUAAACGUACCGAAUGAAACGCGCGCACAGGUUAUUGUAUAUUUCUCCGGUGGUCCUUGGGAUCCAACUUCACUGCGUUUGCUUUCAGCUUGCCCUCAGGAGGUCUGUUUUCUCGACGAGUGGGUAUUAAUUAGGUCAGCACUGGUCAAUCUGCAUCAAGGUUCAGCUCUUCAAAGCGCCCUCUUCAGGAUCAAUUGAUCUACCAAAUAAACCCCUACUUUAUCUCAGUCUUUUCCAGUCACUGGCUCUUGUCGGUGUUCUUUUCUUCAUUUCUCCAAAUCCACGGGCUCAGUGCUUAGGGUUCUGAAGAAGUGAUCAAAUCACAGUGUCUUGAAUCACAGAAGAACCAUUUUUAGACCCUUCAGCAAGACCCUCAGUCUCUGUUCCUGGAUUGUAUUCUGUACUUCUCUCUCUCUCUCUCUCUCGCUCCCUCCCUCUCUCUCUCUCU